GGUGAAAUUAGACAGACCCAGCCUACAACAACAACUUCAAGUCUGCUGCCCUCAGAGUGAUGUGUCCUGGUGGAUUGACUGCAGACAGCCUAGCAGCUGGUAAUAAGGGCUGCCUGGCGAGGCCACAGUCUCAAAGACGGACUGGAAAGCCCUGCGGUCCAGCUCCUCGUCAAUCUGGUGCCGGUAGAAAUCCAUGGCCACCAGGCAGAACAGGUUGACGUCCACCACCUCACUGGAGCCCAUUCGGCUGAUGACGUGUGGCAGUCUGGUUGAGAGCAGGGGGGUUAAGGACAACAGACCUCGCUGUUUGGUGAGCUGUGCAAUUACACUUUGCUGCUACAUCCCCACAUGCAGAUAAAACAACCCUAUCACUGUGCUGCUCAUAGGACUUUUGGCAUGUAAGGAUACAGGGCUGAGAUCCACUGCGAGGUGGAAGCAGAGACAAAGAAACAGGAAAGGCUCCACAUGGCCAUGGCCACUGGCGUCCUCUGAGUGAAAUUGGACAAGGAUAACAGCACCCAGUCUCGCACCAUGGAAGACUGGCCUGUGGCGUGGAGUGUCUGGAAAACCUGAAGACAACAGUGGCCAUGAAUUGUGGGUAAGGUUGCUGAUUGGACAGGAACUCUCCGAUGACCUUGUUCAUGACGUCCUGUGGCGGGAAGAAGUCAUCCAGAAACUGCGGCAGAAUCCUGGACACAACCCGAGCCUCGCUGGGUAAACCUUUCCGGAUCCUGCAGACAGGAAACCCCAGAAGAUGAAAUGAUGGGAAACAAAGCAAAAACAUUUAUCAGCUGCCGUCAAAUUAUUCUGGACACAAAACUCAAAAUGGUGAAGGAU